rnacentral:rRNA from 1 species
CAGGCCUAACACAUGCAAGUCGAGCGGGCGUAGCAAUACGUCAGCGGCAGACGGGUGAGUAACGCGUGGGAACGUACCUUUUGGUUCGGAACAACACAGGGAAACUUGUGCUAAUACCGGAUAAGCCCUUACGGGGAAAGAUUUAUCGCCGAAAGAUCGGCCCGCGUUCGAUUAGCUAGUUGGUGAGGUAACGGCUCACCAAGGCGACGAUCGAUAGCUGGUCUGAGAGGAUGAUCAGCCACAUUGGGACUGAGACACGGCCCAAACUCCUACGGGAGGCAGCAGUGGGGAAUAUUGGACAAUGGGCGCAAGCCUGAUCCAGCCAUGCCGCGUGAGUGAUGACGGCCUUAGGGUUGUAAAGCUCUUUCGCUCGGGACGAUAAUGACGGUACCGAGAUAAGAAGCCCCGGCUAACUUCGUGCCAGCAGCCGCGGUAAUACA